rnacentral:tRNA from 1 species
GGGGAUGUAGCUCAGUUGGUAGAGCAUGUAUUUCGCAUAUACGAGGUCCCGGGUUCGAGCCCCGGCAUCUCCA